AUUGAACGCUGGCGGCAGGCUUAACACAUGCAAGUCGAGCGGGGAUUGGGUGCUUGCACCUAAUCUUAGCGGCGGACGGGUGAGUAAUGCUUAGGAAUCUGCCAUUUAGUGGGGGACAACAUUCCGAAAGGGAUGCUAAUACCGCAUACGCCCUACGGGGGAAAGCAGGGGAUCUUCGGACCUUGCGCUAAAUGAUGAGCCUAAGUCGGAUUAGCUAGUUGGUGGGGUAAAGGCCUACCAAGGCGACGAUCUGUAGCGGGUCUGAGAGGAUGAUCCGCCACACUGGGACUGAGACACGGCCCAGACUCCUACGGGAGGCAGCAGUGGGGAAUAUUGGACAAUGGGCGGAAGCCUGAUCCAGCCAUGCCGCGUGUGUGAAGAAGGCCUUUUGGUUGUAAAGCACUUUAAGCGAGGAGGAGGCUACCUGGAUUAAUACUCUAGGAUAGUGGACGUUACUCGCAGAAUAAGCACCGGCUAACUCUGUGCCAGCAGCCGCGGUAAUACAGAGGGUGCGAGCGUUAAUCGGAUUUACUGGGCGUAAAGCGUGCGUAGGCGGCUGAUUAAGUCGGAUGUGAAAUCCCUGAGCUUAACUUAGGAAUUGCAUUCGAUACUGGUCAGCUAGAGUAUGGGAGAGGAUGGUAGAAUUCCAGGUGUAGCGGUGAAAUGCGUAGAGAUCUGGAGGAAUACCGAUGGCGAAGGCAGCCAUCUGGCCUAAUACUGACGCUGAGGUACGAAAGCAUGGGGAGCAAACAGGAUUAGAUACCCUGGUAGUCCAUGCCGUAAACGAUGUCUACUAGCCGUUGGGGCCUUUGAGGCUUUAGUGGCGCAGCUAACGCGAUAAGUAGACCGCCUGGGGAGUACGGUCGCAAGACUAAAACUCAAAUGAAUUGACGGGGGCCCGCACAAGCGGUGGAGCAUGUGGUUUAAUUCGAUGCAACGCGAAGAACCUUACCUGGCCUUGACAUAGUAGAAACUUUCCAGAGAUGGAUUGGUGC
rnacentral:rRNA from 1 species